rnacentral:rRNA from 1 species
AGAGAAAUCGAGUCUUAAUAGGGCGUUUAGUUGCUGGGUAUAGACCCGAAACCGGGUGAUCUAUCCAUGAGCAGGUUGAAGGUUGGGUAACACUAACUGGAGGACCGAACCCACUGUCGUUGAAAAGCCAGGGGAUGACUUGUGGAUAGGGGUGAAAGGCUAAUCAAACUCGGUGAUAGCUGGUUCUCCCCGAAAGCUAUUUAGGUAGCGCCUCGGACGAAUACCAUAGGGGGUAGAGCACUGUUUCGGCUAGGGGGUCAUCCCGACUUACCAAACCGAUGCAAACUCCGAAUACCUAUGAGUACUAUCCGGGAGACAGACUGCGGGUGCUAACGUCCGUAGUCAAGAGGAAAACAAUCCAGACCGCCAGCUAAGGCCCCAAAAUUAUAGUUAAGUGGGAAACGAUGUGGGAAGGCAUAGACAGCUAGGAGGUUGGCUUAGAAGCAGCCACCCUUUAAAGAAAGCGUAAUAGCUCACUAGUCGAGUCGGCCUGCGCGGAAGAUGUAACGGGGCUAAAACUAUAUGCCGAAGCUGCGGAUGUAUACAUUGUAUACGUGGUAGGGGAGCGUUCUGUAAGCCGAUGAAGGUGUGUUGAGAAGCAUGCUGGAGGUAUCAGAAGUGCGAAUGCUGACGUGAGUAACGACAAAACGGGUGAAAAACCCGUUCGCUGAAAGACCAAGGGUUCCAGUCCAACGUUAAUCGGGGCUGGGUGAGUCGACCCCUAAGGCGAGGCCGAGAGGCGUAGUCGAUGGGAAAUUGGUUAAUAUUCCAAUACUUCUGUGUAAUGCGAUGAGAGGACGGAGAAAGUUAAGUCAGCCUGGCGUUGGUUGUCCAGGUGAAAGGUUGUAGGCAUGCAUCUUAGGCAAAUCCGGGGUGCUCUAUGCUGAGAACUGAUAGCAAGCGAGUUUACUCGUGAAGUGGCUGAUACUAUGCUUCCAGGAAAAGUCUCUAAGCUUCAGUUACACAGGAAUCGUACCCGAAACCGACACAGGUGGUCAGGUCGAGUAGACCAAAGCGCUUGAGAGAACUCUGCUGAAGGAACUAGGCAAAAUGGUACCGUAACUUCGGGAGAAGGUACGCUGCUGACGGUGAUAGGACUUGCUCCUUGAGCUAUUGGCAGCCACAGAAACCAGGCCCCUGCAACUGUUUAUUAAAAACAUAGCACUCUGCAAACACGAAAGUGGACGUAUAGGGUGUGAUGCCUGCCCGGUGCUGGAAGGUUAAUUGAUGGGGUUAGCGUAAGCGAAGCUCUUGAUCGAAGCCCCAGUAAACGGCGGCCGUAACUAUAACGGUCCUAAGGUAGCGAAAUUCCUUGUCGGGUAAGUUCCGACCUGCACGAAUGGCAUAAUGAUGGGGGCGCUGUCUCCAGCAGAGGCUCAGUGAAAUCGAAAUCGCCGUGAAGAUGCGGUGUACCCGCGGCUAGACGGAAAGACCCCGUGAACCUUUACUGCAGCUUGACAUUGAACUUUGAUCUUACUUGUGUAGGAUAGGUGGGAGGCUUAGAAGUAGCGACGCCAGUUGCUAUGGAGCCAUCCUUGAAAUACCACCCUGGUAAUAUUGAGGUUCUAACUCUGUCCCGUUAUCCGGGACGAGGACCAUGUCUGGUGGGUAGUUUGACUGGGGCGGUCUCCUCCUAAAGAGUAACGGAGGAGUACGAAGGUGCGCUCAGCGUGGUCGGAAAUCACGCGUAGAGUAUAAAGGCAAAAGCGCGCUUAACUGCGAGACCCACAAGUCGAGCAGGUACGAAAGUAGGUCUUAGUGAUCCGGUGGUUCUGUAUGGAAGGGCCAUCGCUCAACGGAUAAAAGGUACUCUGGGGAUAACAGGCUGAUACCGCCCAAGAGUUCAUAUCGACGGCGGUGUUUGGCACCUCGAUGUCGGCUCAUCUCAUCCUGGGGCUGAAGCAGGUCCCAAGGGUAUGGCUGUUCGCCAUUUAAAGAGGUACGCGAGCUGGGUUUAGAACGUCGUGAGACAGUUCGGUCCCUAUCUACCGUGGGCGUUGGAAAUUUGAGAGGAUCUGCUCCUAGUACGAGAGGACCAGAGUGGACGAACCUCUGGUGUACCGGUUGUGACGCCAGUCGCAUCGCCGGGUAGCUAUGUUCGGAAGGGAUAACCGCUGAAAGCAUCUAAGCGGGAAGCCUACCUCAAGAUAAGAUUUCCCUAGGACUUUAUGUCCUCUAAAGAGCCGUUGAAGACUACGACGUUGAUAGGUUGGAUGUGGAAGUGCGGUGACGCAUGAAGCUGACCAAUACUAAUUGCUCGUGAGGCUUGACUAU